AAACCAACAGGGAUUACCUCAGUAACGGCGAGUGAAGCGGUAACAGCUCAAAUUUGAAAUCUGGGCCUUUCAGGCUCCGAGUUGUAAUUUGUAGAAGAUGCUUCGGGUGCGGCUCCGGUCUAAGUUCCUUGGAACAGGACGUCAUAGAGGGUGAGAAUCCCGUAUGUGAUCGGUUGCUUGCGCCCAUGUGAAGCUCUUUCGACGAGUCGAGUUGUUUGGGAAUGCAGCUCAAAAUGGGUGGUAAAUUUCAUCUAAAGCUAAAUAUUGGCCAGAGACCGAUAGCGCACAAGUAGAGUGAUCGAAAGAUGAAAAGCACUUUGGAAAGAGAGUUAAACAGUACGUGAAAUUGUUGAAAGGGAAGCGCUUGCAACCAGACUUGCGCGUUGCCGAUCAUCCGGGGUUCUCCCCGGUGCACUCGGCCUCGCUCAGGCCAGCAUCGGUUUUGGUGGUGGGAUAAAGGCCUUGGGAAUGUAGCUCCUUUCGGGGAGUGUUAUAGCCCUCGGUGCAAUGCCGCCUACCGGGACCGAGGACCGCGCUUCGGCUAGGAUGCUGGCGUAAUGGUUGUAAGCGAC
rnacentral:rRNA from 1 species